rnacentral:rRNA from 1 species
AACGAACGCUGGCGGCAUGCCUAACACAUGCAAGUCGAACGGGACCUUCGGGUCUAGUGGCGCACGGGUGCGUAACGCGUGGGAACCUGCCCUUAGGUUCGGAAUAACUCCCCGAAAGGGGUGCUAAUACCGGAUAAUGUCUUCGGACCAAAGAUUUAUCGCCUUUGGAUGGGCCCGCGUUGGAUUAGCUAGUUGGUAGGGUAAAAGCCUACCAAGGCGACGAUCCAUAGCUGGUCUGAGAGGAUGAUCAGCCACACUGGGACUGAGACACGGCCCAGACUCCUACGGGAGGCAGCAGUGGGGAAUAUUGGACAAUGGGCGAAAGCCUGAUCCGGCAAUGCCGCGUGAGUGAUGAAGGCCUUAGGGUUGUAAAGCUCUUUUACCCGGGAUGAUAAUGACAGUACCGGGAGAAUAAGCUCCGGCUAACUCCGUG